rfam:Macaca mulatta chromosome 8, whole genome shotgun sequence.
AGCCAGACUCCUCCUGCAGCUCUGGUGGAAAACGGAGAAGACUUUUCCUUUCCUCCAUCUCCCCCAGGGCCUGGUGGAGUGAGGCG